GGCUCAGGAUGAACGCUGGCGGCGUGCUUAACACAUGCAAGUCGAACGAAGAAGAGUUGAAUGAGAGCUUCGGCAGGAAUUCUUCUCAUCUUAGUGGCGGACGGGUGAGUAACGUGUGGGCAACCUGCCCUGUACUGUGGAAUAAUCACUGGAAACGGUGACUAAUACCGCAUGUCAUCACCGGAGGGCAUCCUCUGGUGAAAAAAGGAUUUAUUCGGUAUAAGAUGGACCCGCGUCUGAUUAGCUAGUUGGUGGGGUAACGGCCCACCAAGGCGACGAUCAGUAGCCGGCCUGAGAGGGUGAACGGCCACAUUGGGACUGAGACACGGCCCAAACUCCUACGGGAGGCAGCAGUGGGGAAUAUUGCACAAUGGGGGAAACCCUGAUGCAGCGACGCCGCGUGAGUGAAGAAGUAUUUCGGUAUGUAAAGCUCUAUCAGCAAGGAAGAAAAUGACGGUACUUGACUAAGAAGCCCCGGCUAACUACGUG
rnacentral:rRNA from 1 species